CCUACGGGAGGCAGCAGUGGGGAAUAUUGCACAAUGGGGGAAACCCUGAUGCAGCGACGCCGCGUGAGUGAAGAAGUAUUUCGGUAUGUAAAGCUCUAUGAGCAGGGAAGAAAAUGACGGUACCUGAUUAAGAAGCCGCGGCUAACUACGUGCCAGCAGCCGCGGUCAUACGUAGGGGGACAGCGUUAUCCGGAGUUACUGGGUGUAAAGGGAGCGUAGACGGCAGCACAAGUCUGGAGGGAAAUGCCGGGGCUUAACCCCGGAACUGCUUUUGAAACUGUGCAGCUAGAGUGCGGGAGAGGUAAGUGGAAUUCCUAGUGUAGCGGUGAAAUGCGUAGAUAUUAGGAGGAACACCAGUGGCGAAGGCGGCUUACUGGACUGUAACUGACGUUGAGGCUCGAAAGCGUGGGGAGCAAACAGGAUUAGAUACCCGGGUAGUC
rnacentral:rRNA from 1 species